rnacentral:rRNA from 1 species
AGCAGCCGCGGUAAUUCCAGCUCCAAUAGCGUAUAUUAAAGUUGUUGCAGUUAAAAAGCUCGUAGUUGAAUUUCGGGAUCAAUACGUCGGUCGUGCUUCGGUACGUACUGGCGUAAUUGAUUUCUCCCUUCUGACGAACCAUGAUGUCAUUAACUUGGUGUCAUGGGAAAUCAGGACUGGUACUUUGAAAAAAUUAGAGUGUUUAAAGCAGGCUCACGCUUGAAUACAUUAGCAUGGAAUAAUGAAAUAGGACGUUCGAUCCUAUUUUGUUGGUUUUUAGGAUCAACGUAAUGAUUAAUAGGGAUAGUUGGGGGCAUUAGUAUUCAAUUGUCAGAGGUGAAAUUCUUGGAUUUAUUGAAGACUAACUACUGCGAAAGCAUUUGCCAAGGAUGUUUUCAUUAAUCAAGAACGAAAGUUAGGGGAUCGAAGACGAUCAGAUACCGUCGUAGUCUUAACCAUAAACUAUGCCGACUAGGGAUCGGAUGAUGUUAAUUUAUAAUGACUCAUUCGGCGUCCG